CAUCUCGUCGGUGGUUGCGAACAUCGGCAUGUCCCAGGCUGGGACGCAGCGCGGUGGAGGAGGUCGCCGGUGCCGGGGGCACGAGGACGAGGGGGAUUUCUCGUAGGGUUUCUGGUCGACGCCUCUUCCUCUCCAUCGUGCUUGCGAGCCAUAGGGUUUGUAUGAUCUUCCUCCCCUCCUGCUGGUAAUCUCCCUCCCCUCCUGCUCUGUUCCGACGGGUUCGUUUCGAGCCAUAGGGUUUGUAUGAUCUUCAACUGGCAAUGCUGCAUGCGAUGUGAUAUUAUUAAUUUUGGAACAUAUAACCUGAUGAAAAAUCGUGUUCUUGAUUGGUGGUAUGAUGGAAGAGUUUGGCAUUGCUUAGUUCUAUAAACUUGAAGGGAACUCUGAACAUGCACUUUAAACAACAUUUCCUUUCGCUGGGAACAAGAAAAGCUACAACUUGCUGACACACUGUCAUAAAUAAAUCAGUUUUAAUCCCAAAUUUUUAAAAUUCGAUAGCAUCCACAUUCACAAAUACUUAAUUGAUCAGAUUGAUUUUCCAUCAGCUUUUCAUUGGACAAGAAGUGUCUUCAUUACCUUUUCACUCUCGCUCAAUGAACAAAGUUAUUUGCUGAAGAGAGUAAAAUGGUGAUUCAGACUCUCCAAAUCCUGCUAACAGAACUUCCAUGAGGAGAUAUCAGGGUGAUGCAUAGGCUCCGAGUUUUGAAGACGAGUCUAUGAAUGGCUAUAAUGUUGUCUUAAGGAUCAGAACCAUGAUAUGCACUGAGAGAGCCUUGUCAGAAGAUUACAGGAAUUGGAUGUCUCCAUCUGUUCAAAUUGAAUAUCAUAUGAUGGAUCUCUGCUGUGUAAGGCACCCUUGCAACAUGGCAACACCACUGUUGUAGCCCGCAACCUCAAAACACAUUGAUGUUGGACGGGGGCACAUGGGGAGCUGCCAUGGACCGUCACCUGAUUUCUGUUGGCCUAGCCACUUAUUGCAGGCGGAGGUGCUACAUGUCCUCUCUGGGGCGUUCUCUCUUGUAGCUGCGUGUGCCACCAUCACCUCUGGAACGCCCACAACUCCUCCAUCAGGUGCUGAGCCGAUAAAGUUGACUACAAGUGCAGGCGCUCCAGGCGCACUUUGAAGGGCUUAGUACGAAGCAAUUCUCACUUGCCUAUACCCGAUAAAGAAUUAUGAUAACCUCUGAGACGAUAUGAAAAAUAUGCAUUUUCAUGUAGUUUUAACGUUCUCGUUCCAUGUGUCUAUAUGUUUGUAUCAAUUUCUAUCAUUCAAUUGUCCAAACUGACGGGCGCGGCCAUCAUGAUCUAGUAUGGGACAUGUCCGAAGACCGACCGAGCACGCGUCUCUUCUUCCUCGCUCCCCUCCUCCACCCGUUGCCGCUUCUCCUCCUACCUCUGGCCGGCGAUUGGAACAUACUGUAGCAGUCCCAUACGCCCACAAGUAUCCCUUGCUCUUCAAGGCGGGGCGAGGCGGCGCGGCGCGGCCGCACGGGGCGGCGGGCGCAGGAGAGGCGGCCGCAAGCGGGCAGGCCAGGCGGCGCGGCGGCCGCAGAAACGGGGCCUGCACGGGGCGGCGGGUGCAGGCGGCGGGGCCGCACGCACGGGGCUCGCGGCGGGCUUAAGAGGGUAGGCGAGGGCGCGAGGGGCGCACGAGAGGGGGCCGCAGGGGGGCAGGCCAGGCGGCGCGGCGGGCACAGGAGCGGGGGCCGCACGGGGCGGCCGGCGCAGGAGGCGCGGCCGCACGCACGGGGCUCCCGACGGCCUCAAGAGAUUUAUGGAUGACACUGGACAAAGGGCAUCCCGCUAGACCAGGAAAGGCUAAUAUUUGCUGGGAAGCAGCUGGAAGAUGGACGGGCAUCCGCCGACCACAACAUUCAGAAAGAGUCGACACUACAUUUGAGAGCGUAUGUAUGAACAUCAGCGUCCAUACGCUCAAUGCUAAACUUGGCUAUGAUCACUAGAUUUGAGGUUUUCUUCUGUAGAAUGACUGCUUCAGUCGAAAUAUUAAUAAUGUGGGCAACAUUAAUAAAAAGGGUAGUUGACAGGGAUUGCUUGACAGUGUAAUUAGUUUAUGAAAUGAACAUAUCUUAUUGGCCACGAAGUGUUCUCUUUGCUCCAAAUUGUGAUGAGUUUUCAA